AGUGAACGCUGGCGGUAGGCCUAACACAUGCAAGUCGAACGGCAGCACAGUAAGAGCUUGCUCUUACGGGUGGCGAGUGGCGGACGGGUGAGGAGUACAUCGGAAUCUACUUUUUCGUGGGGGAUAACGUAGGGAAACUUACGCUAAUACCGCAUACGACCUACGGGUGAAAGCAGGGGAUCUUCGGACCUUGCGCGAUUGAAUGAGCCGAUGUCGGAUUAGCUAGUUGGCGGGGUAAAGGCCCACCAAGGCGACGAUCCGUAGCUGGUCUGAGAGGAUGAUCAGCCACACUGGAACUGAGACACGGUCCAGACUCCUACGGGAGGCAGCAGUGGGGAAUAUUGGACAAUGGGCGCAAGCCUGAUCCAGCCAUACCGCGUGGGUGAAGAAGGCCUUCGGGUUGAAAAGCCCUUUUGUUGGGAAAGAAAAGCAGCAGGUUAAUACCCCGCUGUUCUGACGGUACCCAAAGAAUAAGCACCGGCUAACUUCGUG
rnacentral:rRNA from 1 species